UCAAGUGAAGAAGCGCAUACGGUGGAUGCCUUGGCAGUCAGAGGCGAUGAAAGACGUGGUAGCCUGCGAAAAGCUUCGGGGAGUCGGCAAACAGACUUUGAUCCGGAGAUGUCUGAAUGGGGGAACCCAGCCAUCAUAAGAUGGUUAUCUUGUACUGAAUACAUAGGUGCAAGAGGCGAACCAGGGGAACUGAAACAUCUAAGUACCCUGAGGAAAAGAAAUCAACCGAGAUUCCCUUAGUAGUGGCGAGCGAACGGGGACUAGCCCUUAAGUGGCUUUGAGAUUAGCGGAACGCUCUGGAAAGUGCGGCCAUAGUGGGUGAUAGCCCUGUACGCGAAAGUCUCUUAGUCAUGAAAUCGAGUAGGACGGAGCACGAGAAACUUUGUCUGAAUAUGGGGGGACCAUCCUCCAAGGCUAAAUACUACUGACUGACCGAUAGUGAACUAGUACCGUGAGGGAAAGGCGAAAAGAACCCCGGAGAGGGGAGUGAAAUAGAUCCUGAAACCGUAUGCGUACAAGCAGUGGGAGCAGACUUUGUUCUGUGACUGCGUACCUUUUGUAUAAUGGGUCAGCGACUUAUUUUCAGUGGCGAGCUUAACCGAAUAGGGGAGGCGUAGCGAAAGCGAGUCUUAAUAGGGCGUCUAGUCGCUGGGAAUAGACCCGAAACCGGGCGAUCUAUCCAUGGGCAGGUUGAAGGUUAGGUAACACUGACUGGAGGACCGAACCGACUACCGUUGAAAAGUUAGCGGAUGACCUGUGGAUCGGAGUGAAAGGCUAAUCAAGCUCGGAGAUAGCUGGUUCUCCUCGAAAGCUAUUUAGGUAGCGCCUCAUGUAUCACUGUAGGGGGUAGAGCACUGUUUCGGCUAGGGGGUCAUCCCGACUUACCAAACCGAUGCAAACUCCGAAUACCUACAAGUGCCGAGCAUGGGAGACACACGGCGGGUGCUAACGUCCGUCGUGAAAAGGGAAACAACCCAGACCGUCAGCUAAGGUCCCAAAGUUAUGGUUAAGUGGGAAACGAUGUGGGAAGGCUUAGACAGCUAGGAGGUUGGCUUAGAAGCAGCCACCCUUUAAAGAAAGCGUAAUAGCUCACUAGUCGAGUCGGCCUGCGCGGAAGAUGUAACGGGGCUCAAACCAUACACCGAAGCUACGGGUAUCACGUAAGUGAUGCGGUAGAGGAGCGUUCUGUAAGCCUGUGAAGGUGAGUUGAGAAGCUUGCUGGAGGUAUCAGAAGUGCGAAUGCUGACAUGAGUAACGACAAUGGGUGUGAAAAACACCCACGCCGAAAGACCAAGGUUUCCUGCGCAACGUUAAUCGACGCAGGGUUAGUCGGUCCCUAAGGCGAGGCUGAAAAGCGUAGUCGAUGGAAAACAGGUUAAUAUUCCUGUACUUCUGGUUAUUGCGAUGGAGGGACGGAGAAGGCUAGGCCAGCUUGGCGUUGGUUGUCCAAGUUUAAGGUGGUAGGCUGGAAUCUUAGGUAAAUCCGGGAUUCCAAGGCCGAGAGCUGAUGACGAGUUGCCUUUAGGCGACGAAGUGGUUGAUGCCAUGCUUCCAAGAAAAGCUUCUAAGCUUCAGAUAACCAGGAACCGUACCCCAAACCGACACAGGUGGUUGGGUAGAGAAUACCAAGGCGCUUGAGAGAACUCGGGUGAAGGAACUAGGCAAAAUGGCACCGUAACUUCGGGAGAAGGUGCGCCGGUGAGGGUGAAGCACUUGCUGCGUAAGCCCACGCCGGUCGAAGAUACCAGGCCGCUGCGACUGUUUAUUAAAAACACAGCACUCUGCAAACACGAAAGUGGACGUAUAGGGUGUGACGCCUGCCCGGUGCCGGAAGGUUAAUUGAUGGGGUUAGCUAACGCGAAGCUCUUGAUCGAAGCCCCGGUAAACGGCGGCCGUAACUAUAACGGUCCUAAGGUAGCGAAAUUCCUUGUCGGGUAAGUUCCGACCUGCACGAAUGGCGUAACGAUGGCGGCGCUGUCUCCACCCGAGACUCAGUGAAAUUGAAAUCGCUGUGAAGAUGCAGUGUAUCCGCGGCUAGACGGAAAGACCCCGUGAACCUUUACUAUAGCUUUGCACUGGACUUUGAAUUUGCUUGUGUAGGAUAGGUGGGAGGCUUUGAAGCGUGGACGCCAGUUCGCGUGGAGCCAUCCUUGAAAUACCACCCUGGCAACUUUGAGGUUCUAACUCAGGUCCGUUAUCCGGAUCGAGGACAGUGUAUGGUGGGUAGUUUGACUGGGGCGGUCUCCUCCUAAAGAGUAACGGAGGAGUACGAAGGUGCGCUCAGACCGGUCGGAAAUCGGUCGUAGAGUAUAAAGGCAAAAGCGCGCUUGACUGCGAGACAGACACGUCGAGCAGGUACGAAAGUAGGUCUUAGUGAUCCGGUGGUUCUGUAUGGAAGGGCCAUCGCUCAACGGAUAAAAGGUACUCCGGGGAUAACAGGCUGAUACCGCCCAAGAGUUCAUAUCGACGGCGGUGUUUGGCACCUCGAUGUCGGCUCAUCACAUCCUGGGGCUGAAGCCGGUCCCAAGGGUAUGGCUGUUCGCCAUUUAAAGUGGUACGCGAGCUGGGUUUAGAACGUCGUGAGACAGUUCGGUCCCUAUCUGCCGUGGACGUUUGAGAUUUGAGAGGGGCUGCUCCUAGUACGAGAGGACCGGAGUGGACGAACCUCUGGUGUUCCGGUUGUCACGCCAGUGGCAUUGCCGGGUAGCUAUGUUCGGGAAAGAUAACCGCUGAAAGCAUCUAAGCGGGAAACUUGCCUCAAGAUGAGAUCUCACUGGAACCUUGAGUUCCCUGAAGGGCCGUCGAAGACUACGACGUUGAUAGGUUGGGUGUGUAAGCGCUGUGAGGCGUUGAGCUAACCAAUACUAAUUGCCCGUGAGGCUUGACCAU
rnacentral:rRNA from 2 species